rnacentral:rRNA from 1 species
AACGAACGCUGGCGGCAGGCUUAACACAUGCAAGUCGAGCGCCCCGCCCGGGGUGCGGCAGACGGGUGGGUAACGCGUGGGAUCGUACCUUCUGGUUUGGAACAACUCUGGGAAACUGGAGCUAAUAGCGGACAAGCCCUAACGCGGAAAGGUAUAUCGCCGAGGGUUCGGCGCGCGUCUGAUUUGCUAGUUGGUGAGGUAACGGCGCGCCAAGGCGACGAUCAGUAGCUGGUCUGGGAGGAGGAGCAGCCACACUGGGACUGAGACACGGCCCAGACUCCUACGGGAGGCAGCAGUGGGGAAUAUUAGACGAUGGGCGCAAGCGUGAUCCAGCCGUGCCGCGGAAGUGAUGAAGGCCUUAGGAUUGUAAAGCUCUUUGGGCCGGGAAGAUAAUGACUGUACCGGAAGAAUAAGCCCCGGCUAACUUCGUG